rnacentral:rRNA from 1 species
CCAGACUCCUACGGGAGGCAGCAGUGGGGAAUAUUGCACAAUGGGGGGAACCCUGAUGCAGCGACGCCGCGUGGGCGAGGAAGUAUUUCGGUAUGUAAAGCCCUAUCGGCAGGGAAGAAGAAAUGACGGUACCUGAAUAAGAAGCACCGGCUAAAUACGUGCCAGCAGCCGCGGUAAUACGUAUGGUGCAAGCGUUAUCCGGAUUUACUGGGCGUAAAGGGAGCGCAGGCGGCGCGCCAAGUCUGAUGUGAAACCCCGGGGCUCAACCCCCGAACUGCAUUUGAAACUGUUGGUCUUGAGUAUCGGAGAGGCAGGCGGAAUUCCUAGUGUAGCGGUGAAAUGCGUAGAUAUUAGGAGGAACACCAGUGGCGAAGGCGGCCUGCUGGACGACAACUGACGGUGAGGCGCGAAAGCGUGGGGAGCAAACAGGAUUAGAUACCCUUGUAU